CACGUAGGGUGCGAGCGUUGUCCGGAAUUAUUGGGCGUAAAGAGCUCGUAGGCGGUGUGUCGCGUCGGCCGUGAAAACCUGCAGCUUAACUGUGGGCGUGCGGUCGAUACGGGCAUCACUGGAGUUCGGCAGGGGAGACUGGAAUUCCUGGUGUAGCGGUGAAAUGCGCAGAUAUCAGGAGGAACACCGGUGGCGAAGGCGGGUCUCUGGGCCGAUACUGACGCUGAGACGCGAAAGCGUGGGGAGCGAACAGG
rnacentral:rRNA from 1 species